CCGGCGACCGGCGCACGGGUGAGUAACACGUAUGCGACCUGCCCCCGCAGGGGGAUAACCGGGAGAAAUCCCGACUAAUACCGCGUAACGCCGCGGACCUGCAUGGGUCUGCGGCCAAAGGAAGCGAUUCCGGCGGGGGAUGGGCAUGCGGCGCAUUAGCUAGUCGGCGGGGUAACGGCCCACCGAGGCGACGAUGCGUAGGGGUUCUGAGAGGAAGGUCCCCCACACUGGUACUGAGACGCGGACCAGACUCCUACGGGAGGCAGCAG
rnacentral:rRNA from 1 species